UACGUAGGGUGCGAGCGUUGUCCGGAUUCAUUGGGCGUAAAGGGUGCGUAGGUGGCGCUGUAAGUCGGGUGUGAAAUUUCGGAGCUUAACUCCGAAACUGCAUUCGAUACUGCGGUGCUUGAGGACUGGAGAGGAGACUGGAAUUCAUGGUGUAGCAGUGAAAUGCGUAGAGAUCAUGAGGAAGACCAGUGGCGAAGGCGGGUCUCUGGACAGUUCCUGACACUGAGGCACGAAGGCCAGGGGAGCAAACGGG
rnacentral:rRNA from 1 species